CUGGGGCAUUGAAGGAUCUUCAAAAAAUAUGCCCAAACCAUCUCAAUCUAUGUUCUCGCAUCUUUUCUGCCACCGGUACUACUCCAACUUUUCGUCGAAUAUCUUCGUUUCUUAUUUUAUCCAUCCUUGUAUGACCA